GACGAACGCUGGCGGCGUGCUUAACACAUGCAAGUCGAACGGAAAGGCCCUGCUUUUGUGGGGUGCUCGAGUGGCGAACGGGUGAGUAACACGUGAGUAACCUGCACUUGACUUUGGGAUAACUUCAGGAAACUGGGGCUAAUACCGGAUAGGAGCUCCUGCUGCAUGGUGGGGGUUGGAAAGUUUCGGCGGUUGGGGAUGGACUCGCGGCUUAUCAGCUUGUUGGUGGGGUAGGGGCUUACCAAGGCUUUGACGGGUAGCCGGCCUGAGAGGGUGACCGGCCACAUUGGGACUGAGAUACGGCCCAGACUCCUACGGGAGGCAGCAGUGGGGAAUAUUGCACAAUGGGCGGAAGCCUGAUGCAGCAACGCCGCGUGCGGGAUGACGGCCUUCGGGUUGUAAACCGCUUUCGCCUGUGACGAAGCGUGAGUGACGGUAAUGGGUAAAGAAGCACCGGCUAACUACGUG
rnacentral:rRNA from 1 species